CUUUCUUCUCUCUUUCUGGUCUUCUUCUUCUCGACGCAAACCUAGACGCCCCUCCCAAUCGCAAACAAAAUCCUCACCACCGUCAUCCAAAUCUUGUCAGAAUCCUCUCAUCUCUCAAUCACAGACGAGAGUGAGACACUCCUCAGCCUCAUGCCACGCAAUCGCCCUCGGUUCCCCCACACACCAGAAACUUCCUCUUAUUUUGCUCGAUUCGAUGCAGCUUUACUUUAUUAAUCGCUCUGGCAUUUUCAGCUACAAAUUUGAACUCCCAACUCCAGAUGACAGACCCGGUGCUCCUAUAAUAAGUUUGUAAAAUCAUAUAGCCCUGGUUGUGCACACACACCAUCCGCAGGGGACUCUAGUUUUAAGCGUGCCUUAUUUGUAGCUUUCAUUUCUUUUCUGCAAUGAUGCAUCGUUUGGUUACCCUGGUGGUUAUCCUGUGGAAAACUAAAGUUAUCUCGAAGAAAGUAGUGAUUGCACUUGGCAAGAGUGUAGCUGGAAAUAUCAAAGAGUAAGGUUGGAGCUGAACAAGGAACCAUGGGUAACAAGAUGCUGACUCUAGAUGAGUAUGUAACCAAUGUGACUAGUUGGAAGUUUGGAACUCCUCUUGUAACCUUUGUCACGUUUCUGUACAUGUUGCAUUUUGUUGUGAGAAAGUCAGUUUUAUAUUUUAAAGAUAUUUUGUGAAGGCUCCCCUAAGAUUAGUCCGUGUCUUAUUGGAGAACCUUGUUUUGGGAAGUCUAGAAAUGUGGAAGGUCUUGCUCAAUGAAUUGCAAGUGGUGAUGCACCUGAAAUAAUAGAUGGAAGGGUGAGUGAUAGUUUAUUUGUAAUUUCUAGUACUCUGCCUUGACAUCCUUAUUUUGUGUUCUUAAAGAGUCAAGGUGACCAAAUUAUUCCAAGCUCUAGUCAUCGUUGGAGUAGAGCUGAAACGUGGUAGUUUUUCAAGACACUUGAUGGAAUCUUACCUUAGUCUGCUUGCUUGAAUUCAGCAUCAAGUUGUCCAUGUGAUUAAAGCCUAGUCCUGUUUGUUUAAUAUUCAGCAUGUACAGAUGCUCCAAUUUGGUCA